ACCUCAUCCAGAGGGGCUGAGGGAACGGCCCGAUGACGCCCCGGCAACCACCACACAUGUCUCGAUGGCGAGGCCCCGUGUGGCAGGUGCUAAUUCCGUCCCCACGUGCGCUAGCCGGCGCCGGGGAAAGAUGAGAA
rnacentral:ncRNA from 2 species